AGUUUGAUCCUGGCUCAGAACGAACGCUGGCGGCAGGCUUAACACAUGCAAGUCGAGCGCCCCGCAAGGGGAGCGGCAGACGGGUGAGUAACGCGUGGGAAUCUACCCUUUUCUACGGAAUAACGCAGGGAAACUUGUGCUAAUACCGUAUAAGCCCUUCGGGGGAAAGAUUUAUCGGGAAAGGAUGAGCCCGCGUUGGAUUAGCUAGUUGGUGGGGUAAAGGCCUACCAAGGCGACGAUCCAUAGCUGGUYUGAGAGGAUGAUCAGCCACAUUGGGACUGAGACACGGCCCAAACUCCUACGGGAGGCAGCAGUGGGGAAUAUUGG
rnacentral:rRNA from 1 species